GUGCACCAGUCGAGAAACCUCCGCAAUGCGCGAAAGCGCGACGGGUUACCCGGACGUGCCGUCCGCUGAGGACGGCUUUUGUCCCACGUGUAGCCAGCUGGGCGGAAUAAAGGAGAGGGCGAAGUCUGGUGUCAGCCGCCGCGGUAAUACCAGCUCUCCGAGUGGUGGGGACGCUUAUUGGGCCUAAAGCAUCCGUAGCCGGUCUGGCAAGUCCCCUUGUUAAAUCCAACGAUUCAAUCGUUGGACUGCAAGGGAUACUGCCAGACUAGGGGCGGGAGGAGGCCGACGGUA
rnacentral:rRNA from 1 species